CAGCAGCCGCGGUAAUACGAAGGGGGCUAGCGUUGUUCGGAAUUACUGGGCGUAAAGGGCGCGUAGGCGGCCAUUCAAGUUAGAUGUGAAAGCCCUGGGCUCAACCUAAGAAUUGCAUUUGAUACUGUUUGGCUUGAGUUCGGGAGAGGUGAGUGGAAUUCCCAGUGUAGAGGUGAAAUUCGUAGAUAUUGGGAAGAACACCAGUGGCGAAGGCGGCUCACUGGACCGACACUGACGCUGAGGCGCGAAAGCGUGGGGAGCAAACAGGAUUAGAUACCCCGGUAGUCCCUGUCUCUUAUAC
rnacentral:rRNA from 1 species